GACCUGGUGGUGAAGAGGCUAACACAGCGGUCCGCAAAACCGUUAUUCGCGGGUUCGACUCCCGCCCAGGUCU
rnacentral:tRNA from 1 species